CUACGGGAGGCUCCAGUGGGGAAUAUUGGACAAUGGGGGAAACCCUGAUCCAGCAAUGCCGCGUGUGUGAAGAAGGCCUGCGGGUUGUAAAGCACUUUCGGUUGGGAGGACUGCUUCUAGCACUAAUAUUGUUGGAAGUUGACGUUACCUUCAGAAGAAGCACCGGCUAACUCCGUGCCAGCAGCCGCGGGUAAUACGUAGGGUGCAAGCGUUAAUCGGAAUUACUGGGCGUAAAGCGCGCGUAGGCGGCUAGAUCAGUCGGGUGUGAAAGCCCCGGGCUUAACCUGGGAACUGCAUCCGAUACUGUCUAGCUUGAGUACAGGAGAGGAGAGUGGAAUUCCACAUGUAGCGGUGAAAUGCGUAGAUAUGUGGAGGAACACCAAUGGCGAAGGCAGCUCUCUGGCCUGAUACUGACGCUGAGGUGCGAAAGCGUGGGGAGCAAACAGGAUUAGAUACCCGAGUAGUC
rnacentral:rRNA from 1 species